CUGAUGCGUUGUUGGGUAGGGGAGCGUUCUGUAAGCCUGUGAAGGUGUGUCGUGAGGCAUGCUGGAGGUAUCAGAAGUGCGAAUGCUGACAUAAGUAACGAUAAAGCGGGUGAAAAGCCCGCUCGCCGGAAGACCAAGGGUUCCUGUCCAACGUUAAUCGGGGCAGGGUGAGUCGACCCCUAAGGCGAGGCCGAAAGGCGUAGUCGAUGGGAAACGGGUUAAUAUUCCCGUACUUGGUGUUACUGCGAAGGGGGGACGGAGAAGGCUAUGUUGGCCGGGCGACGGUUGUCCCGGUUUAAGCGUGUAGGUGUGUGUUCCAGGUAAAUCCGGUUCACUUUAACACUGAGGCGUGAUGACGAGGCACUACGGUGCUGAAGCAACAAAUGCCCUGCUUCCAGGAAAAGCCUCUAAGCAUCAGGUAACAUCAAAUCGUACCCCAAACCGACACAGGUGGUCAGGUAGAGAAUACCAAGGCGCUUGAGAGAACUCGGGUGAAGGAACUAGGCAAAAUGGUGCCGUAACUUCGGGAGAAGGCACGCUGACACGUAGGUGAAGUGAUUUACUCACGGAGCUGAAGUCAGUCGAAGAUACCAGCUGGCUGCAACUGUUUAUUAAAAACACAGCACUGUGCAAACACGAAAGUGGACGUAUACGGUGUGACGCCUGCCCGGUGCCGGAAGGUUAAUUGAUGGGGUCAGCGCAAGCGAAGCUCCUGAUCGAAGCCCCGGUAAACGGCGGCCGUAACUAUAACGGUCCUAAGGUAGCGAAAUUCCUUGUCGGGUAAGUUCCGACCUGCACGAAUGGCGUAAUGAUGGCCAGGCUGUCUCCACCCGAGACUCAGUGAAAUUGAACUCGCUGUGAAGAUGCAGUGUACCCGCGGCAAGACGGAAAGACCCCGUGAACCUUUACUAUAGCUUGACACUGAACAUUGAGCCUUGAUGUGUAGGAUAGGUGGGAGGCUUUGAAGUGUGGACGCCAGUCUGCAUGGAGCCGACCUUGAAAUACCACCCUUUAAUGUUUGAUGUUCUAACGUGGACCCGUAAUCCGGGUUGCGGACAGUGUCUGGUGGGUAGUUUGACUGGGGCGGUCUCCUCCUAAAGAGUAACGGAGGAGCACGAAGGUUGGCUAAUCCUGGUCGGACAUCAGGAGGUUAGUGCAAUGGCAUAAGCCAGCUUGACUGCGAGCGUGACGGCGCGAGCAGGUGCGAAAGCAGGUCAUAGUGAUCCGGUGGUUCUGAAUGGAAGGGCCAUCGCUCAACGGAUAAAAGGUACUCCGGGGAUAACAGGCUGAUACCGCCCAAGAGUUCAUAUCGACGGCGGUGUUUGGCACCUCGAUGUCGGCUCAUCACAUCCUGGGGCUGAAGUAGGUCCCAAGGGUAUGGCUGUUCGCCAUUUAAAGUGGUACGCGAGCUGGGUUUAGAACGUCGUGAGACAGUUCGGUCCCUAUCUGCCGUGGGCGCUGGAGAACUGAGGGGGGCUGCUCCUAGUACGAGAGGACCGGAGUGGACGCAUCACUGGUGUU
rnacentral:rRNA from 1 species